AGUGAACGCUGGCGGUAGGCCUAACACAUGCAAGUCGAACGGCAGCACAGGAGAGCUUGCUCUCUAGGUGGCGAGUGGCGGACGGGUGAGGAAUACAUCGGAAUCUGCCCAGUCGUGGGGGAUAACGUAGGGAAACUUACGCUAAUACCGCAUACGACCUUCGGGUGAAAGAGGGGGAUCGCAAGACCUCUCGCGAUUGGAUGAGCCGAUGUCGGAUUAGCUAGUUAGCGGGGUAAUGGCCCACCAAGGCGACGAUCCGUAGCUGGUCUGAGAGGAUGAUCAGCCACACUGGAACUGAGACACGGUCCAGGCUCCUACGGGAGGCAGCAGUGGGGAAUAUUGGACAAUGGGCGCAAGCCUGAUCCAGCCAUACCGCGUGGGUGAAGAAGGCCUUCGGGUUGUAAAGCCCUUUUGUUGGGAAAGAAAUCUUUCAGGCUAAUACCCUGGGAGGAUGACGGUACCCAAAGAAUAAGCACCGGCUAACUUCGUG
rnacentral:rRNA from 1 species